rnacentral:pre_miRNA from 1 species
CUUGGCACUGGGAGAAUUCACAGUUGACUUUAUUAUUCUGUGGUUCUGCGGGUGCCAAAAC